rnacentral:rRNA from 1 species
AUUGAACGCUGGCGGCAGGCCUAACACAUGCAAGUCGAACGAGUGGCGGACGGGUGAGUAAUGUCUGGGAAACUGCCCGAUGGAGGGGGAUCACUACUGGAAACGGUAGCUAAUACCGCAUACCAUCGGAUGUGCCCAUAUGGGAUUAGCUAGCAGGUGGGGUAACGGCUCACCUAGGCGACGAUCCCUACCUGGUCUGAGAGGGUGACCGGCCACACUGGAACUGAGACACGGCCCAGACUCCUACGGGAGGCAGCAGUGGGGAAUAUUGGGCAAUGGGCGCAAGCCUGAUGCAGCCAGGCCGCGUGAGUGAAGAAGGCCUUCGGGUUGUAAAAUACUGUCAGCGGGGAGGCGGUACUCGAAGAAAAAGCAACGGCUAACUCCGUGCCAGCAGCCGCGGUAAUUC